GCCUAGUGUGGUGUAGUGGUUUGAGUGUUGGACUAUAACUCUUGAGAUCAGGGUUCAAAUCCCUAUUUGGUCA
rnacentral:tRNA from 1 species